GACGAACGCUGGCGGCGUGCUUAACACAUGCAAGUCACGGGGGCCCGCAAGGGCAACCGGCGAACGGGUGCGUAACACGUGAGCAACCUGCCUAUCUGCGGGGGGAUAGCCGGCCCAACGGCCGGGUAAUACCGCAUACGUUCACGAGGGGACAUCCCCUUGUGAGGAAAACUCCGGUGCAGAUAGAGGGGCUCGCGGCCUAUCAGCUAGUUGGUGAGGUAACGGCUCACCAAGGCGACGACGGGAGCUGGUCUGAGAGGAUGGCCAGCCACAUUGGGACUGCGACACGGCCCAGACUCCUACGGGAGGCAGCAGUGGGGAAUAUUGCGCAAUGGACGAAAGUCUGACGCAGCGACGCCGCGUGUGGGAUGAAGCUCUUCGGGGUGUAAACCACUGUUGCCCGGGAAGAAUCUCCUGAUUCAUCAGGAUUGACGGUACCGGGUGAGGAAGCACCGGCUAACUCUGUGCCAGCAGCAGCCGCCGC
rnacentral:rRNA from 1 species